rnacentral:lncRNA from 1 species
GAGUAUUUUGGACAAUUAAUGCGGGUUCACAUGUUACGUAAGCCAAUUUGGUAAACUGGGCGGCUAUGACAUGAAAUUAAUUCACUAUACAUACAAUAAAAGAGGAAGCCUAACGCUUGAAUUACUCAGGGAGUCCGGCAAAGCAAGCCAAAAAUAAAGUGGAAAAACAUUUCCAAUUAAUAAAUAAUGUACGUAGAAAGAUCACCAUUGUAGAAGUAGUCACAUCCAAGUAAGUUGUAGUACGCUGAUAUGAUAUCUCCUCGGGAGCAAGAUGUCGAUGGGGGGAGCUUGACGUUUAGCGAUCAAUGCCAGGCAUUUCAAUUCCGAAAAGACAUUGAACUUUUUACAUACGUAAGAUAGAGUCGAGAGAACUUCUCUUCGCUUAGUGCACUCAUGAGCAAAAAGUAAGAUCUUUGUGGUUGGUAUGCGCUGGGAUUUCAGAGGUACUUGUAUUCUAACCACUGCUCGCUGUUCUGAUGUGAAUUCCAGUUCAGAGACCGGUAGGCGGGGCGGGAUAGAAGCUUGAUGCCUGGCAGGUAAUCGGACAAUGCUUCCUAAAGAAAGAGGAAUUUCAUUUACCAGAUUUGAUGGAGAAAGUGAAUACUUUUUCUUUUGAGCUAAGCAAUAGAUAAAAGCACUGCUUAUGGUGUGAAAAGGGGGAACCAACCAAGCACCAUAUUCAUAUGCUUCCCAGUAUGAAAUGGCACAGGAGAGUCUAACGAGGAAGACUAGAGCCCACUUUCAAGCAAAUCCACCUACAAUGUUCAACCGGACAGAAUCAGGGGGCAGUGUCGAACUGGUACGGGAAGGAAUGGUGGGAUUGGAGCAAAUUCCAGAAAUGCCCUUAUGGAGCAAAGGUACGCAUUGGGUCUGUUUUUUUAUUGUGGGGAGGGGUCACCAAUUUACAAAUGGGGGAAUGCACAUGUUAGAAGGUCUGGAAGUGGAAGGUGAAUUGGAUUGAUUAGAAAUGAUGAAGGUAGCUAGGAAGAAGGCCAGGUUACAGAAGCAUUGAUGUGCUUGCAUGCCACAUAAGGGAGGGAACCCAAACCUCAAAAGCAUGAGAUUCAAAGAAAAGAAACCUAUAUUUGCACUAUUGGAUAACGGAAGUAGACAUAGUUUUUUUGAUCCAUCAGUGCUUGUAGGCUCUGGUUAUCAAAUUACUAGAAUGAGCCCUGGUUGGCUAACGGUAAUCAAAAGGGUGAAAGAUACUCCGUGCAAGGCCCUCCUCUACUCCCAGCCAAGAGUUUGAAGAUGAUCAAAUCCUUUUUUACCUAGUUCAGGGCAUAGAUCGUUUGCUAAUGAUUCGAGGCUACCUACUAACAGUUGACAAGAGUCGCGAAAUCAAAUACAAUGCCUGUCUGAAGAUCUCCGACUUGCUGAUAUCCAUAGGUUGUUUUACGGAUGUUGUGAACAAGCUGAGGGAUUUUAUCCUACAAUACUACACUACAGUCUUCUCGACAAGGGAUGACUGGUUACUUUUUUGAAUCAUUAACACAACGCUCCGCGCCUAAUUCGUUGCUUGCCUUUUGUCUCGAAGAAGAAGUCUUCCUUUCUUAUCCCUAGAUUGAAACAAUCAAAUACUAUUUUUACCUAGCAUAUGUCCAAAAGGCAAAUGCUUCACACCAUCUUGUCGUACUAUUUUGCAAAGUGAAUUUCAACACACCCGAUUUGUCGUUCUAGUUUGAAUUGAUAAUGCACCUGAGUAACAAUAGAAGUUCUUUUCGAAGUAAACAGUUUGUGAUUAUCCUCCUAACCCAGCUCCCGAUGAUGGUGAUGUCAAUGACAAACUGAUUUCUCCUUUUUUAAACCGACUAGAAAUUACUAGUCAUUCCAAAGAAAGCCUCAUUUCCACUAGUGUCUCGAGUGGCCUUGCCUUUGGUUCAACGACCGGAGGAAGGAAGCUAGCUCUUCAUUGAGCUGUCCCAAGGUAUUAGGCUUUAAGAGGUAAGGUUUGUUGCUAGCUCUAAGAUUAGUAGGCUUGAUAUGAGAUUCCAGUUAUCAAUCUUGUUGUAGUAAAGCUGUUUACCGAGUCGUAAGCCAACAAUAAGAUUUGCCCUUAGCUUGUUCGUACCGAUAUGCAAGUGGAGCUGGAGCUUAUAAGUUUGAGUAAGCAUAUGGCUUAGUAUUAAGUAGGGAAAGGAAGAAUACCACUCAUAAGUUUUAGGCUAUAGGAAUAAGAGUUGCAGUUAAAGCUCAUUACUGCUAUGUCUAUUAGAUAAAGAGAUGCUUCUCACUAGUCUCAUGACCAAGGUCCAGUGCCUUACUUUUCUCAUAGGCGUCUUGUAAUUGACAUUGGAUUGCAAUGCUUUCGAGUUGAUUGGAAUGGUGGAGCCAACUCUAUUCAAGUUAUGGAUGGCUCAACCUACUCCUACUAUUGUCCCCUUCCCCUCUAUGGUAGCUUCACCUCCCAGGUGGCCUCCACUAUCGUUCCGGGUUGCUGAUUUCGGACAGUUUAUCUAAUCACGAUCUUCUUCCACUAUAACCACCACCCCCUACCCCCUUAGACUCUUCCUAUCACCAGCCAGGGAUAGCCGGUACGGUUGUAGUAUUCCGAUCCCUAGUUGUUCAUAUGCUGUAGUUCCUCGGCAAAGGCCAUUGAUUUCUUUUCUUUCAUCAAAAUCAAAUGAAAGCAAAGAACCUAAGGAGAUACGAUUCCUACGCAUUGGGAAGAAGUUGUUCGCCAAAGCACAUUAGGAUUGUGAUAAUGUCAUCUCCACUUUAAUACUAAUAAGAGGAUUAGCGCACGGUACUAUCCCCCAGUCCAGGGCAAAGGUACUUCCAACUUCUCCUGUCCGCCCCUUGAUUUAUCACCCCUUUGGUCUUUUAUUGGUCAUUGAUUUAUAGACGGGAAGAUAAGUACCCUGGCUCGAGCCUAGAUAUCGAUUUACCAUGGAUCUCCGAAACGGGAAACAAGAAAAGUAAUAGAAAUCGUGUGUCAGCGGGAGAUACGAAAUUCACUAGUUUUUACUCUCAAUCCACUGGUGGAGAUACCUGGGGUGGGUUUUCAUGGCCUAUAGUCCCCUGCCACCGAAGCACGAACUACUUUAAAUCGCGGAUCGGCAGCUUCCUGCGACAUUCCUUCAAUGCAAACGUGGUAUUUUUCUACCCUUUGAUAGAUAGCAAGCAGCUCCUAUAACUUGAUCGACAGGACCCAACCAACUAAACUAUUUAUUUUGGCAAAGCUAGACCUUUUGAGGAAAGCAGAUGCAGAUAACGAAAAGAAGCUAUUAGUUUUUCUUGUACUCGACUUUACUGACCGCUUUCGUAAGGAAAGAAGACAAUAGGAAAACCAGGUGAGAAGUUUUAGAGCAACCGAUGCCUACCGUCCGGCGAUAUCCCUAGGUGGAGCUGGCUUACCACAUUCCGAUACCUCGGAACCUUCCUUUCGUCAAUUUUGAAUAACGAAAGUAUCAACCGGCAUGCCAAAACACUUAUUAUGUUUAUGUGAAGUGGAUUCAUCGGAAGAGAGAGGUAAAGCAUUUGAAUUCUUAGCUUUUGAGCAGUAAGUAUUUCGCCCAAGGCGGCCCGGGGGUCUUCUUCGUUUAAGGGGCAGUUGAGCAACCAAUCAUACUACGUAGUACGGGAAUUGUAGUUCACAAGUGAAGACUCCCAUGAGUGACUAGUUGGGUGGUAUAUUAAAAAUGGGUCAGUUAUAAACAAAUCCGUCUUUUACGUGAGACCCUAGAAAUAAAAUAGAACACUCUUUGACGAGAAAGCCGUCUAGCACCUGUAGCUGGCUUGCUUCACGUCCCGCUGUUUGCUUACGAGUUUGGUAGCGAGCCGAGGCAGACGUUUGUAGAUCUUGCCUCGAAGCCUCCUUUCCUUCCUCGGGACCUACCCCGAGGAAGGAGGCUUGAGGCGCGCUAAAUACAAUUGUUUUAUCAACACGGGGUGGAGAAGGCAUUGCAUUCAAUGUGAUUUCCGCUGCCUUGCUUCGAUUUCGUGCGUUUAAAGGCAGGCUUGACCAACCACAUCACAUAAGCCAGCGCAGCGAGAAAACUGAUUCUUCCACGGGAUUCUGCUUCCUACGAAACAUACGUUUUAUGAAUUAACAGUUACCAGUAGCGAGCGAUCCUUUCCUACAAGGUAAGGCCAUGGACAAAGGUUUUUUAUCUACCCCAGCGGGGGCAGUUUUAGGAGUCUUUUUUCAAUCUAUCUUUCUUUGAAUCCGGGCUCGCCUUCACUCGGUCAAGGGGUUGCCCUUUACCUCGUUCCGUGGUCCUUUAUCCCCUCCUUGCAUGCCUAGUUUUAUUCCUUUCCGAGGCCCAAAAGCCAAGCAUCACAAUCAGAGGGUUAAUCCUCCAACCAGAACCAACUUAACCUAUGGAUAGUCUCCGCUGGCCUAGGCGGAGAUGGCCAACUGAUAGAUACUUAUCCUGCCCAGCGGGUGCUACUUCUCUUCUUUCUCCUAUUUGCUUUGCUUGACGGUGAAACCUAUCGAUCAUAUCCGGAAGUUGCUUAACACUACCCUCGAAUGCAAGUCAGCUCUUCGAUUCUCGAGAAUCGGGGUGGGCCAGGUGAUUAUUUGAUUUCCAAUAUGGAUAUAAUGAUGUGUAAGAACUGCACCACCGAUAUAGCACCCUUCCUCGGACUAAGGAUAUUCGUACUCCCAGUGCUCUUGCUUCCUUUGCACCCCGGCUCCGAAGGAUCAGUAGGGAGGACUCCGGAAGCCAAUAUCGGAAUGGAAACAUUCCUCGAAUGAUGGUUGUGAUGCCCCGUUCGUGAUACCCAGGGAAGGGGACUACAUCAUACUUCUCUGAUCAAGUCCUUUCUUUAUUGACAAUAUUUAUUAGUUGACCACUUUACUAGGCUUUCCCUAACGAAAGUAUUCCGAGUGACCACCCUAUUGUCACUUUACUGUCCAGUUCGCGAGUCCCACUCACUUAUUUUAGUCAAACCGACCCUAACUAAAACUAAGUUAAGUAUAGUACUUUUCUCAAUGCUGCCCGCCUCUCAUCUGUUUUCUAAUCAGCUUCUAUCUUCUGUUCCAACCAAGGAAGCUCUUCUAUUCAACCGGUUCGUAUCGCCAGGCCCCUCAGGGGGUACGGUUUAUCUAAUCACACUGCUCGCUACUACAGGGAUUCCUUCUCCUUGCCGAGUUGCAGGUGUUACCACCCUAGAUAUUCUAUUUAUUAUUUGUAUGCUGCCUUAUCUCCUUCAUCUGGAUUUUUGAGAUGAUUGUUAUGUUAGUUCUUCCUUCUAUGUUGUAAGGUGCAAUCUCAUCCGAUGUUUGUCAGUUUGCCCGAGUCUUCCCGAUUCUUAUCCAGCCCAGCUAGAUUGGACCAACAUCAGUGGUGCUUCUAUUAACCCUUGCUUCUCUACUAUUCUUAGGUCUUAGGAGAACCCUAUCUUCCAUAUUCCUAAUCCUCAAGUACAGUAGGCCGCACUCUUCGAUCCUUUGGUCCUAGAACACCUUUUGUCGCAAACUAUACUCUACAUUCCCCCUCGGUCUACUCUGCCAAAGUAGCGACAAGAUUCAAUUGCUGGUUCGAUUCCUGCUCGCUAUCCGACGGUUAAUCCUUUAACCAGAGAUCAGCAUCCAAGGGUUAUUCCUUGAACCAGUGCUUCCUAUCGAAUCGAUCAUUCUUUACUUACUUUAUUAAGAUUAAGUGGGCAUCCCUCGCUGAAAAGAGAAUCAAGCAGGAAAACCCUAGGACGAGGGAUAGUGAUAUUCCUUUCACCGAGCAAGAAACCAUCUCUUUCUUUCACAUAUAUAUAUAUAUAUAUCUAUUUCAAGAAGUCCAAUCCACCACUAUCAAUGGAGCACUCUACUCUAUACUAUUACCGAGUGAAGAUUUCAUCGGAUCCGGCUUGCUUUCAUUGAAGGACAAGAGCGGAUAGUUCCCUUCCCUUUCUUCGAUGAACCCUUAUCUUUCGAUAGAGAAGUACAGCGAGAUGAACGAUAAGUCGAACGACAGAACAACCUGAUGUUACUGCAUCAAGUAAUUCAGAUUGUCAUAUUGAGAUUUUUUCCUUUUUUGUACUUAUUAUUCCAAGCCAAAAGGCUAUGUUCUCCCCCAUACAGCUCGCAAGGCUCAUAACCUAACUGCUCUACUUACUUAAUUCUUAAUUCAGAAAUUCAACAACCCUCCCUUGAUGGGCCAAAACAACAGCAGAGUAGCAGGUCAAAAAGAGAGAGAGAACUGAAACCGAAGAUACUUGGGUUGGGAGAACUCUUCUACAGUACUCCAUUAACAGAAUAAAAGUAUAGACCAAUCAACCUUCCUUAUUGUCCAAGAUCAUUACUUAAGUGUUGGCCAACAGACUAGUACCAGUGGUGGAUAGGAGAGUAAGUCCCAGACAGCUAAGAUAAACUCCCGGGUAGUGUUGUCACUGCACAAGAGGUGCGUAACAGGUGUAAGCGAAGAAGAGAGCAUAACACUGGAUUUAGAAAACGAGCAUAUGAUAUGGUGAGACAACUUUCUCUUUUUUGAGGUAAGAUGCUAGCCAGCCCUCUAUUCAUGGGUGAGAUAUCGACUUUACAGCGUUACCACGUACCAAAUCGUUCACUCUAUCAGGCAGCCGGAAGUGCAUCUCUUCUUUUUGCAGGACUUCUUCCUAGCUCCGUGGAACGAAGGGUUGGAACGAAUAGUAGAAUGAUGGGCAGCAGGAAAGACUAGUUACAGAAAAGCCAGCCCCAGUUCAUUCUGGCUAUUGCAUCCGUGGAAUGCAUAGUUAGCUCCGUUUUCAAGUUAGCUGCUCCCACCCUACCUACUUAUUAGCUUGCCCUGUUUCUAAUGCGCUGUGGACCUUGCUUGUUGUCUUCGUCGACCAAUUCAAUUCCUUGUGUCGGCUCCAAUCUAAGUAGUAAGAAGAAAGAUAGAUAUAUAGAAUUGGGUGGGCAGAGUUGGCUUGCUUCCAAGAGAAUAAACACCUGGCGACUCGAAAACAUGAUGCGCUAGGUUUCGAUCAGUUAAUCGAGAUAGGUUGUACUUUUCAUUCGAUUUUGUUACCACGUGCUUUUCACUUCAUGAUCAGUUAAUCGAGUGCUCAGUCAACUUCCUAUAAGAGUUCUGCUUUUGCUAAUCAAAGACAGACAUCAAUCCCUCAUCCUACUCUGUCUGUCAGUCGGUUACUCAGUUCUGUUAGCUACUCACGUGUCUAUACUAAGCUAAGAUAUUCCUCAUUCUUGCACAGGACAGGAGAGGGGAUUGCCUUAGCUACCGGUACCGAACUCUGAUCAAACUAAAACGAAAAGCUUAACCGAUUCUUGUAGAGUCCUUAGCAUUAGAUAAUGCAUGCGCACACAAGAGGAAUGAACUUGCCUUCUAGUGAUUUGGAAGGAUUGAGUCGGCUGCCCCCAGCCUCGCCCCGCAUCGCCCUCCGGGGGUAGUUACGCCAGUGGAACCAACUCACAAAGCAGCCCAAAAGCAGGAACUUUUCUUGAUUGAAUUGGUUUAAAGGUAAUUCAUCAAUCCUUAAAUUAUUCCAGGAUUCUUUUGGGAUGCUAUCCACCCUUUGAUUUACGAAUUGGCUAUAAUAUUUACUCUGGAUCCCUUCCAGCUGCAAGUCAAGAACGAUCCUUUGAAACAUUUUAGGAUUAUACUCACAAUUGGUUUGGGGGUUUCGUAUUGCAUUGCCCGCACUAUCCAUAUCCUGGAACAGGAUUGAUUUGGCCAUGGAAAGGGCCAGCUAAACGCCUAAGCUCUGAAAGUACGGAUUGCUUCCCUUCAUAGAUUUUAUUAGUUAAUUUGAGAAGUUCCUCUGGGCUCCUGGUCCUUUCCAGAUACUGCAAACUCAAAUUAUGAAAUAUGAGAUCCCUGCUACUCAGAGUCAGAGACCCGAAAGGACGUGGUGGACUCCCUGGUUCCCCCUCAUCUGCAGGAGAAAUUGAAGAAGGUGCAGCCCCGCCCCCUGCGGAGUGACUCGGGGCCGGUGGUGGAGUAGUACUUGACUGGGUCGAGUAGGCACCCUCCUCAGGGCUAAGUGGCGGAUCUAGAAAAUAGUCUGAGCCGUCAAGAACUAUUUCAGGGGGCAGACCCGAGUGCUCUAUUGGAGCUUUGCCCUUGCCCUUAUCUUGGGCUUGAUAGGUAGACUAUAAAGAGAUUCAGUACAAUAAGCCUGACUUUCAUAUUUAUUAAUAUAAUGGGGACCCAGGGAAAGAUAAUAGAGAGCCAUCUGCCAAUAGGCAGAAUAGAUUCCACACUCACUUCAGAUUCUGGGUGGGUAAAGGGAAACAUGAUCUCUAUUCUGAGAGGGAGCGCGGUCGAGCAUAGACUCGGCAACAACCAAUACAUCCAAUACCACAGUAGGCCCACGUACUACAGCUUAAAUGUACUGUAUGUGCCAUCAUAAACCAUUUCAGUCGUAGUACCUAACCUACCAGGCACUUGUUUGCCACCAAGAUAACCUAAUUAACGUGAAACCAACUGUAUUUCCGCUGUAGUACCUACCAGGCUUGUAACCAAGCUAAGUGAAAUUGAAAAACAUUUUCGCUGUACUACCGCUCGUGUAACCGACGUAAUCGGUCUUAAACACCUAUAAUAUAAGGAACUCGUGUACAACCAUAACAUUUAUAUAUUUCACAGGUGUACCACCGUAACCAAUUUCACUCGUGUACUACAAAGAAGAAAAGAAAAAAAAGAAAAUUAUAGCUUUCUUUUUUUUGGUGCGUGCUUUUCGCCUGCCUUCCCGACCACGGAUAGGCUACGGGGCUUUGCACUUCGGCCCCUGUGAAUACCACAUCAAGGUGACAGGAUUCGAACCUAUGGCCCUCUGUACCCAAAACUGAUGCGCUGACCAGACUGCGCUACACCUCGUCUCCCCCCGGGAACAUAUGGUAUGGAUCUACCCAAUCGAAAAAGACUCGAACCGCAGUCGCCCACCCCGCGGCACAGGGAGAUGGAUCUCUUGUUACCAGAAAGGAACUGAACUGGCUUGCCCGGAAAGAAUGGAUUGCUACCCUUGGAGAGCUAAUGGUACUGGACUGAUAGCGCACUGAUUGAACCGACCCCGGACGUACCACUGGGGAACCUGUGGCUGGAGAGAAUCUCUCGCGAUGGAGAAAUGUAAAAUGGGAAGCUCUAUGGAGGAUCGUGUCGUUCGUCAUCGAAAUGGGACUGACUCGCUCGGGAACAGGCAUAGGAUUGAGGAACUUUCUGGCGUAACACACCCGUAAUGGGGCAAUCUGACUAGCUAGUCAAAACCCUUUCCGCAGUGAGCUUUCAAACUUACUUUAGAACUUGCUUCACAGGCUUUGAGGCAUUUUUACACCCUCCCGUAGGCGUAGGCUCACUUUGUUUCAGGGCUUUCCUUUCUCUCCUAAGAUCCCAUCCCAACCAACAAACGAGAGUCUGAUGGGGAUUCUAUUCUGCUUGAACGUUAACUAGACCUGCGCCCAUAUUAGCUUACCGGAAAACGAACUAAAUAGUGGGGGAAGCUCAAAGGAAUUAAGUAAGCCAACUUCAGGCUAUAAAGAUAUUUUUAUUGAGGCUAAACUUAUCUGCCUUUCCUGGUACUUCAAAGUCGAAUGCCACUGCUACUACAUACAAUACAGGAGAAGAUAGAUGCUAGAGGACGGAUACAAGGACGGGGUCAUCGCAAAGAAAAAGAGCUAGAGGUGAGUGAGCCUACGACCACCAAUUGCUUAUCCCCUAUUACCAAUUGCAGCAGACUUGGACUAAUGGAAUUGCUUGAAGUGAAGACCAGUGAACAAAAUGACAAAAAAGAAUUGUUUACCUCUUUCGGGAUAAGGCCUGGAAGAAGCAGGGAUUGAACCAGGGCUUGUUGACAGAGCAGAUAUCAAAAGCCUAUGUUAUCUCAUUUUCAGGGGCCGAGCAAGGGAUGAGCGCCCUCUGAUCUAACGACCAAACAAGCAAGCAACGGCCCGGCCCUUGUUACUAGAAAUAUGAAGCGUGCUAGCGCGCACUUCCUAUUAACCAAUUCACCAAUUUGAAGAUUGGUAAACAAAGAUAAUAGGAGCCGAAGUCAAUCCCUUCUCCUCCCCGAGGGGACGUUAUCGGUCGCUUCGUUCCCUUGUUUACUGAACUCUUUUCAAGAGAUAGGUCUACCUCAUCUGCUUGUAAAUUCAUUAUGUAAAAUAACUCGUAAAUUCAUUGUGCCAGAAUUGAUCACUGAUCAGGUGUGAUCAGUCUCAUCCGUCUAAGAGACUGAUCCGGUGCGAUGAGUCUAUUCCGUGUAAUAUUUUGGAAUUCCUCUUCCAACUCGUCCCGGAAUGGGCGUUAUGGCAAAGAACAAGAAGAAAAAGAAAGAAGAAAUUUGUCCAAUAGUAACAAAUGGUGCCUCCACAGGUUGACAUCUGAUCCAACCUAGUAGUAAGCAAUCCGCCAAAAGCAACCAAAAUAUUCCUUGGUGAAUCGGUCGAAAACUUGAACUACGCACAUACAUUUCUUAAAAAAAAGGUAAAGCCAAGAGAGAUAUAAAAACUGGUGCUAUUGCGGCUACACCCCCCGCUUUGUCAGGUAUACUGUGAAGAAUGACAUGGAUCAGUAGGAAAUACCAUUCCGGCACAAUAUGAGGCGGGGUGGGCAUCGGAUUAGCAGGUAUAUAAUUGUCGGGAUGCCCCAAAACAUUUGGAGCAAAAAAAUCCAAAUGGAAAAAAAGAUAGCAGAAGCUACCCGACCUACAAGAUCCUUUACAUAAAAAUAAGGGUAAGAAGCAAUUUUAUCCAUCUCAGAAUGUACACCCAAUGGAUUAUUUGAUCCAUAUUGAUGCAAUGCAGCCAGAUGAAGAAGACUGGCGCCUGCUAAAAUAAGGUGGAGUAAAUGAUGGAGACUAAAAAAACGAUUUAAGGUGGCAUUGUCCACGGAGAAACCACCCCAAAGCCAAGUCACUAUGGUAUCUCCUACUACUGGUAUGGCGCUAGCUAAGCUUGUAAUUACUGUUGCUCCCCAAAAGCUCAUCUGACCCCAAGGUGGUACGUAUCCUAUAAAAGCUGUCACAAUCAUUAAUAGGAAUAUGACAACUCCGAGACACCAAACAAAUUCCCUAGGACUGCUAUAACUCGCAUGAUAUAGACCACGAAAAAUAUGAAGGUGAACCACAAUGAGAAACAUACUUGCCCCAUUAGCAUGCAUAUAACGGAGCAACCUGCCCCCUUCAACAUCUCUCAUAAUGUGUUCUACGCUGUUGAAAGCUAGAUCCACAUGAGGUGUGUAAUGCAUAGCUAAAAAAA